rnacentral:lncRNA from 1 species
CAGAAUUUAGAUGGGCAGAAGCAUUUUAGGAGAUUUUCAGAUUGAGAAAUGGAGGCAUCGAGGUCAAAUCUUUUACCUAAACCACUGAGCAGCAGAGACAGCUUCCUAUCCCAUGUUUCAGUGCUGGAGCAGACCCGUGUGUGUUUGGGAGCAGGGGUAGCUGGAGCUCUUGGAGGCCUCGCAGAGAGAUGGCCUUGCCCAUGAUGAAGUCCUCUGGUGACUCUGCAGGACUGGCUUCGGUCUUCAAAUUGGAUAUUUCCACUGGCACAUAACUAAGCCUCAGUCAAUGGAACUAUACAUCCAUAAGUCUCAGAAAGCAGAAGGAUGGCUUCCUAAAUGAUUUUUCCUUAUGCUAUAUGUGCCAAUAGAUAUCACUAAUACAAUCAGUACAAA